rnacentral:rRNA from 1 species
UAUGUGAUCGUCUCUCGCAUAUCAAUAAGCGGAGGAAAAGAAACUAACAAGGAUUCCCCUAGUAACGGCGAGUGAAGCGGGAAGAGCUCAAAUUUGAAAUCUUAAAGGGUUUCCCUUUACGAAUUGUAGUUUAAAGAAGUGUUUUCUGUUGAGGUUUUGGUAAAAGUUCUUUGGAAUAGGACAUCAUAGAGGGUGAGAAUCCCGUAUUUGACCUUUACUUUCAACUUUGUGAUACACUUUCAAAGAGUCGGAUUGUUUGGGAAUGCAGUCCAAAAUGGGUGGUAAAUUUCAUCUAAAGCUAAAUAUUGGCGAGAGACCGAUAGCGAACAAGUACCGUGAGGGAAAGAUGAAAAGAACUUUGAAAAGAGAGUUAAACAGUACGUGAAAUUGUCAAAAGGGAAGCGUUUGACACCAGUGUUGUUUUUCUGAAAAUCAAUUAAAGAACUGUUUAUGCUAAGUUGUUUAGACUUUAUCAGCUAUCUGUUUAGUUUUGAGCUUUUCUUUAAUGCACUUUUCAGUUAACAAGUCAACAUCAAUUUCUUUUGCUGUAAAAAAGCUUGAGGAAGGUGGCUUGAGAUUCGUCUUAAGUGUUUAUAGCCUCUUGCCUAUGCAGUCGGAGAGAUUGAGGUCUGCAGCGUAGAUCCUUCGGGGCUAAAUGCAUUUGUGCUAAGUUAUAACAUUUUAUAGACAACUUGUUAACUAUGAUUUGUCUUGUAGCUUACUCGCUUAUGUUAUUUUACCUACGCUUAGGAUGUUGAAGACUCUACAGAGAUA